rnacentral:rRNA from 1 species
UACGGAGGGUGCAAGCGUUAAUCGGAAUUACUGGGCGUAAAGCGCACGCAGGUGGCUGAGUCAGUCGAUUGUGAAAGCCCCGGGCUCAACCUGGGAACUGCAUUCAAAACUGACAAGCUAGAGUAUGGUAGAGGGUGGUGGAAUUUCCUGUGUAGCGGUGAAAUGCGUAGAUAUAGGAAGGAACACCAGUGGCGAAGGCGACCACCUGGACUGAUACUGACACUGAGGUGCGAAAGCGUGGGGAGCAAACAGG